UACAGAGGUCCCGAGCGUUUGUUCGGAUUCAUUGGGCGUAAAGGGUGCGUAGGCGGCUUUCUAAGUCUGAUGUGAAAUCCUGGGGCUCAACCCUGGAACUGCAUUGGAUACUGGGAGGCUAGAGUACUGGAGAGGAAACUGGAAUUUACGGUGUAGCAGUGAAAUGCGUAGAGAUCGUAAGGAAGACCAGUGGCGAAGGCGAGUUUCUGGACAGUUACUGACGUGAGGCACGAAGGCCAGGGGAGCAAAACGGGG
rnacentral:rRNA from 1 species